CACGUAGGGCGCAAGCGUUGUCCGGAAUUAUUGGGCGUAAAGAGCUCGUAGGUGGUCUGUUGCGUCGGCUGUGAAAACCCGAGGCUCAACCUCGGGCCUGCAGCCGAUACGGGCAGACUAGAGUUCGGCAGGGGAGACUGGAAUUCCUGGUGUAGCGGUGAAAUGCGCAGAUAUCAGGAGGAACACCGGUGGGCGAAGGCGGGUCUCUGGGCCGA
rnacentral:rRNA from 1 species